rnacentral:lncRNA from 1 species
UGUUUGUCUUCUGAAAAUAUUAAGCAUUCUCAGAUUACACGUAAAUCGAUCUCUAAUAGAAAUACGUUACUAGGCAGGUUACAGACCAGGCUCAGCAGACAGGGAGCCUGUCAGAGAUGCUGCCACGAGGCUCCUAAAGUGGUGAUCCUCGGGUAAGAAUGUUAGCUAACUUCCAACCAGUAACAUUGUCUUCAACUGUAUUGCUCACACACAUUGACUCCAAGAGGUCCAUAACCUACUUCUAGCCUUACUAGAUGAUGUUAGAAGCACACAGAUGGGUAUGGGUGUGUGUGCGUGUGUGUGUGUGUGUGUGUGUGUGACUGUGUG